rnacentral:rRNA from 1 species
UGAACGCUGGCGGCGUGCUUAACACAUGCAAGUCGAACGAAACACCUUAUUUGAUUUUCUUCGGAACUGAAGAUUUGGUGAUUGAGUGGCGGACGGGUGAGUAACGCGUGGGUAACCUGCCCUGUACAGGGGGAUAACAGUCAGAAAUGACUGCUAAUACCGCAUAAGACCACAGCACCGCAUGGUGCAGGGGUAAAAACUCCGGUGGUACAGGAUGGACCCGCGUCUGAUUAGCUGGUUGGUGAGGUAACGGCUCACCAAGGCGACGAUCAGUAGCCGGCGUGAGAGAGUGAACGGCCACAUUGGGACUGAGACACGGCCCAAACUCCUACGGGAGGCAGCAGUGGGGAAUAUUGCACAAUGGGGGAAACCCUGAUGCAGCGACGCCGCGUGAGUGAAGAAGUAUUUCGGUAUGUAAAGCUCUAUCAGCAGGGAAGAAAAUGACGGUACCUGACUAAGAAGCCCCGGCUAACUACGUG